UCCGGUUGAUCCUGCCGGACCUGACUGCUAUCGGAUUGAUACUAAGCCAUGCUAGUCUUUGUAGUAAUACAAGGCAUACGGCUCAGUAACGCGUAGUCAACCUACCCUAUGGACGGGGAUAAUCUCGGGAAACUGAGCAUAAUACCCGGUAGACCACUUCUCCUGGAAUGGUUAGUGGUUAAAAUGAUUCGUCGCCAUAGGAUGGGACUGCGGCCUAUCAGCUUGUUGGUGAGGUAAUGGCCCACCAAGGCGAUUACAGGUACGGGCUCUGAGAGGAGAAGCCCGGAGAUGGGUACUGAGACAAGGACCCAGGCCCUAUGGGGCGCAGCAGGCGAGAAAACUUUGCAAUGUGCGAAAGCACGACAAGGUUAAUCCGAGUGAUUUCUGCUAAAGGAAUCUUUUGUUAGUUCUAAAAAUACUAGUGAAUAAGGGGUGGGCAAGUUCUGGUGUCAGCCGCCGCGGUAAAACCAGCACCUCAAGUGGUCAGGAGGAUUAUUGGGCCUAAAGCAUCCGUAGCCUGUUCUAUAAGUUUGCGGUUAAAUCCAUACGCUCAACGUAUGGGCUGCCGUAAAUACUGUAGAACUAGGGAGUGGGAGAGGUAGACGGUACUCGAUAGGAAGGGGUAAAAUCCUUUGAUCUAUUGAUGACCACCUGUGGCGAAGGCGGUCUACCAGAACACGUUCGACGGUGAGGGAUGAAAGCUGGGGGAGCAAACCGGAUUAGAUACCCGGGUAGUCCCAGCUGUAAACGAUGCAGACUCGAUGAUGCAAUGGCAUAGAGCUAUUGCAGUAUCGCAGGGAAGCCGUUAAGUCUGCCGCCUGGGAAGUACGUACGCAAGUAUGAAACUUAAAGGAAUUGGCGGGGGAGCACCACAAGGGGUGAAGCCUGCGGUUCAAUUGGAGUCAACGCCGGG
rnacentral:rRNA from 1 species